CUUGGAUGCUUAAGAAGGGCCAAGGACCCUAAUUAAUAAUUUUUGGCUAGCAUUUUUGGACGAGGUCUUAGGUUGUUACAGAUAGUAUUAGAGUUGACCACUGUCCAUGUGUGGCUAGGGCAUACUAUGAUAUGAACCCUUCUGGGGCCGACCACGAGUUGGUUAUGGCAUUUUAUUUCUGAUCGGACUUUCCUUGGCAAUAAUACUAAGGCUUAAAUAGGAAGUAUGUAAGGAUCCUUGUGGUUGUGUGUUUAGUUCGACAAUAGAUGCAUAUAGAGAGGUUUUGGAUACUUAAGC
rnacentral:lncRNA from 1 species